rnacentral:rRNA from 1 species
CCUACGGGAGGCAGCAGUGAGGAAUAUUGGUCAAUGGCCGCAGGGCUGAACCAGCCAAGUCGCGUGAGGGAUGACGGUCCUAUGGAUUGUAAACCUCUUUUGUCAGGGAGCAAAGGGCGCCACGUGUGGCGCUUUGCGAGUACCUGAAGAAAAAGCAUCGGCUAACUCCGUGCCAGCAGCCGCGGUAAUCCGGAGGAUGCGAGCGUUAUCCGGAUUUAUUGGGUUUAAAGGGUGCGCAGGCGGAAUGUCAAGUCAGCGGUAAAAUUUCGGGGCUCAACCCCGUCGUGCCGUUGAAACUGGCGUUCUUGAGUGAGCGAGAAGUAUGCGGAAUGCGUGGUGUAGCGGUGAAAUGCAUAGAUAUCACGCAGAACUCCGAUUGCGAAGGCAGCAUACCGGCGCUCAACUGACGCUCAUGCACGAAAGCGUGGGUAUCGAACAGGAUUAGAUACCCCAGUAGUC